UAAUUGGUUAUUCUUAAGAAAUCAUGCAACUUAAAACUAUUUCUGGAACAUGCGACAAAAACACAUUUUUAUAUGAUUCAUUCCUAAAAUUACAGUACUGGCAAAUCAAUUAUUUACUCUAAAGUGAUCUUACAUACUAAAUUAAAUACUAAAUAGUACGGAAUCUGCUCUAACCUCUAAAGCCAAGGCUGGAAUCAAAGUUGGAUUGUUCGGAUAGUUGGUAAACUAAUUUUCGAGUUAGCGGAAAAACCGAACUACGAAACCGUUUUUUAACAACCUCAA